rnacentral:rRNA from 1 species
AUUGAACGCUGGCGGCAGGCCUAACACAUGCAAGUCGAACGAGUGGCGGACGGGUGGGUAAUGUCUGGGAAACUGCCUGAUGGACGGGGAUAAAUAAGGGAAACGGUAGCUAAUAGCGCAUACCAUCGGAUGUGCCAAGAUGGGAAUAGGGAGUAGGUGGGGUAAAGGCACACCUAGGCGACGAUCCCUAGCUGGUCGGAGAGGAUGACCAGCCCCACUGGAACUGAGACACGGUCCAGACUCCUACGGGAGUCAGCAGUGGGGAAUAUUGCACAAUGGGCGCAAGCCUGAUGCAGCCAUGCCGCGUGUAUGAAGAAGGCCUUCGGGUUGUAAAGUACUUUCAGCGGGGAGGCGUUACCCGCAGAAGAAGCACCGGCUAACUCCGUGCCAGCAGCCGCGGUAAUUC